rnacentral:rRNA from 1 species
GUGCCAGCAGCCGCGGUAAUACAGAGGGUGCGAGCGUUGUCCGGAAUCACUGGGCGUAAAGGGCGCGUAGGUGGCCUGAUAAGUAGGGGGUGAAAUCUCGAGGCUCAACUUCGAGGCUGCCUCCUAAACUGUCAGGCUUGAGCAGAGUAGAGGCAGGUGGAAUUCCCGGUGUAGCGGUGGAAUGCGUAGAGAUCGGGAAGAACAUCGGUGGCGAAGGCGGCCUGCUGGGCUCUUGCUGACACUGAGGCGCGACAGCGUGGGGAGCAAACAGGAUUAGAUACCCUCGUAGUCC